rnacentral:lncRNA from 1 species
UGUUACUUCAGUGAUUGGACAGAAAAGGAACUCAUAUUUACUUUCUACUGUAACACCAAGAGUUAUGCUCUGUUUAACAUUAUUUUAUUUAGAUUUCACAAAAAUAUAAUGAUUUAGACAUUACCAUUUCCUUUUUUUCCCCCCCAGAUAUAAACACUGAGGCUCAGACUGUUGAAUAACUUCCCGAGGGUCAUAUACUUUACAGAGACCUAUGGAACUCCCAAAGAAGUAGGCAGCAUGCCCUUUGUGGGACCCAACAUGGUACUUAAACUCAUGACCCUAAGAUCAAGACCUGAGCUGAGAUCAAGAGUUGGACACUCAACAAAGAGUCACCCAGUGUGGAUCUUCUGUGCCUGGAGUACCUGGUGUGGGAUCUGCUCCUCUCCCUUUACCAUGCUUGCCUUGUCCCUCCCUCCCAUGGAUGCCUCACAGGUAAUUUUUUGUCUAUGCCCGUCCUUCCAUUUUUGACA